rnacentral:rRNA from 1 species
UACGUAGGCAGCAAGCGUUGUUCGGAUUUACUGGGCGUAAAGGGCGCGUAGGCGGCCACCGCAAGUCGGUUGUGAAAUCUCCGGGCUUAACCCGGAAAGGUCAAUCGAUACUGCGGGGCUAGAGUGCAGAAGGGGCAACUGGAAUUCUCGGUGUAGCGGUGAAAUGCGUAGAUAUCGAGAGGAACACCUGCGGCGAAGGCGGGUUGCUGGGCUGACACUGACGCUGAAGCGCGAAAGCUAGGGGAGCGAACGGG